rnacentral:rRNA from 1 species
UAGGGAAUAUUGGACAAUGGGUGAGAGCCUGAUCCAGCCAUGCCGCGUGCAGGAAGAAGGCGUUAUGCGUUGUAAACUGCUUUUUGCCAGGGGAUAAAAAGACCGUGCGCGGUUAAUUGAAGGUACCUGGUGAAUAAGCCACGGCUAACUACGUGCCAGCAGCCGCGGUAAUACGUAGGUGGCAAGCGUUGUCCGGAUUUAUUGGGUUUAAAGGGUGCGUAGGUGGCCCUGUAAGUCAGUGGUGAAAUAUCUCAGCUUAACUGAGAGGGUGCCAUUGAUACUGCAGGGCUCGAGUACAGAUGAGGUAGGCGGAAUUGACGGUGUAGCGGUGAAAUGCAUAGAUAUCGUCAAGAACACCGAUAGCGAAGGCAGCUUACCAAGCUGUAACUGACACUGAGGCACGAAAGUGUGGGGAUCAAACAGGAUUAGAUACCCGUGUAGUCCCUGAGCGGGCUGGCAAGGCGCAU